UAGCUCAGUUGGUAGAGCUUGAGACUCUUAAUCUCAGGAACAUGGGUUCGAGCCCCAC
rnacentral:tRNA from 1 species